UCUUCUCAAUCUUCCCUAUUCUAGGCGAAAGAAAAGGGGUAACUGGAAGAUUUUCUUACCUAAUUCUUAACGAAAAUGGAGAAAUUAGAGAAGAAAUUUAGGAAUUUUACCCAAAGAAUAAUAAAUAAUUCCUUUUUCUUUUCAAUUCAAAGGAAUUUGGUAUUUAUUCAUCUGGUAAUCAGUAAUCACCUCCUUCUAGAUCUGCUACUUUCUCAAUCGAUUUCUAACUCUAAGUAAGUAAUCAAUACUUAAAUGGCUGCAUCAUCUGAUUCACAACCAUCACAUGAUUCACCAAGAGAGCCUGAAACUUCAUGUAGAGGGAAAACAUACAUUGCUUGGAAGUAUGCAAGGGAAGAGAAAGAUCCGCUGACUAAGAAAAGAUCCAUAACAUGUUUGGUUUGUUUUAAAAAGAUUAUGGAUGGAGGAAUCAAUAGGAUGAAGAAGCAUCUUGCUGGACAAAGAGGGGAAAUCGCACCUUGUAAAAGAGUUAGUCCAGAUGUUCGAUAUCAAAUGCUAGAGUCACUGAAAGAGACAUCUACAAAGAAGCGACAAAGAGAGGUUGAGGCUGACGACGACCAGGGGAAAUCACACCUUGUAAAAGAGUUAGGAAUAGGACCAAAAAAACAUUUUAUGAUCCUAUAGAUUUUGAUGCAAUCGAUUUGACGGAGGAUUUGGUAGUAGACGAUGAUCCUGACCAGAUUAAUGUUGAUGAGCUUGAAGCUAUAGCUACUGAUGUAACAAUUCCAAUAUUUGAAAUGAAACUCGGAGACACCAUGAUUUACCACAAGCAAGAGCAGAUGAGGUUAGUGGAAAUGCUGCUGGCGAGUGGAAUGAGCUUGAUAACAAUGAUGAUAUGGAGAUGGAAAAUGAUAGGAUGUUUGAACGCCACAACCUGAAUGAUGUUGGUUAUCAAAAUGUUGGUUCUUCAGAUAGCCAUUUCAAUUUGAACGAUUUCCCUCGUUGAUUUUGCUCGUUUUUAGAAGUUAAAACUCGAUAAUAGAACUUAGAAUUGAUCUCAAGGGUUGUGGCGCUACCUUGGUCAGCUAGUUUCUAGUUUAGUUAUUGUUUGAAUUUUAUAUUUUGGAUUGCUAUUUGAAUUCUGGAUUGCUAUUUUUAUAUUUCAAAUUUAUCAAUAUGCAACAACUGUUAU